rnacentral:rRNA from 1 species
AUUGAACGCUGGCGGCAUGCCUUACACAUGCAAGUCGAACGGUAACGGGCCUUCGGGUGCCGACGAGUGGCGAACGGGUGAGUAAUGUAUCGGGACGUACCUUUCAGUGGGGGAUAACGUAGCGAAAGUUACGCUAAUACCGCAUAUUCUGUGAGCAGGAAAGCAGGGGAUCGCAAGACCUUGCGCUGAUUGAGCGGCCGAUAUCAGAUUAGCUAGUUGGUGAGGUAAAGGCUCACCAAGGCGACGAUCUGUAGCGGGUCUGAGAGGAUGAUCCGCCACACUGGAACUGAGACACGGUCCAGACUCCUACGGGAGGCAGCAGUGGGGAAUUUUGGACAAAUGGGGGGCAACCCUGAUCCAGCCAUGCCGCGUGAGUGAAGAAGGCCUCGGUUGGUU